rnacentral:lncRNA from 1 species
GCGGCGGUAACGCCGGCAAUCCCGCCGAAAAACUCUUCAUCAUUUGAGCCUCGUCAUUCUCUCCAUCGUCGAAAUUGAGAGCGUAGCUCAACGGAUCGUAACUGAAAUCCACCGAGUUCCGGUGCCUUUUCCGCAUACGAGCCAUCAGGUUCCGGCACUUCUCCUUAAUCACCGGUAACUCACGCGCCGUCGAUCUCAGCCACGCGGACGACCGUCCUACCAACCGCCUCUUCGAUAACGAUCCGGCUAAUUCCAGCCCCCGGAAACAGCAACAAAGACACAUGGAAAACUUAAUCCUAUGAUUCGGCGAUUGCGCCGGAGUAUCACCAUAAGACUCCAUAUUGAAAAGAGUGAGAGAAAAAGAGUGUUUGAGUAGUGAGAAAAAAGUGGAUAUGAUUGAUGAGACAAUGAGGUGGAGUUGUUUUGGAUAUAUAUUUAUAGGUUGAUGGAAAAGAGCAGAAAGCAAGGGGAACAUAAUGGAUAAGGACGAGAGCGUAAGAUGAUGCGGCUCCCCUUGCUGGAAAAGGCCAGAUAAACCGCGGGCCGGGCGCGUUGUGGUUUUUUCUGAUUCCGCGUUCGCGGGAUUUUAUUCCAAUUAUGAAUGAACUUCUAUCACAUUUUAUUCACUUUAUUUUCGGGUUUUAUUAAUUAUGGGUUUCUAAUUUAUUUCCAUUACUCGCUCAAAAUUUUGACAAACACAUAGGUAAGACAUGAGAAUUAAUUAUAUGAACGGAAAAAAGGCAUGUGACAUUAAUGAUUUCAAAUUAAAUAGUGUCAUAUGCCAUUAAUAUGAAACUUGACCAUAUCAAAAUUUUAAUUAGGAAUGAUACCUCGCCUACUUUUAAUGAGAAGGUUUGAGAUAAAAAUAAAUGAGUUCAAAGUGGGUUUAAUAAAUUUUUAAACCCACCCAUCAGCAAGAUUCAACCACCUUCUACUCGUUGAUGACCCAAUCCUUCAUUAAUCCUGCAAAAUCGAGUAGAAAAACAAACACGUGCACCAUCCACUUCUCUGCCAAUCCCAUCAUCAAAAUUAAGCGCAUAACUUUGCAUAUCAUAACGAAACUCCACCACCCUCUUCUUCUUUCUCAUUCCAUCUUCCAUAACCCUGCAUUUCAUUUUCUUUAACUUCUUCCCUAUCUUCGCCAAGCAAUUUUCUCUUGAUGACUUCUGCCUCUCCAACAAAACUACGUACGAGCCGCCACUUUUUCCCCGCAGCCUAAGCCAAGAAAGACUCUGAAAACAGCCACAAGCAUUGGCGUCCAUGGCCCUCUCAUCGUCUUCAACGCUUUUUAUACCUUCUAAUUCUGAAGAUGUAGCCGCAGAGACUGGUUUUUCAUGUGGGAUGGCCAUGAGGAUGAGGAUGAGAAUGAGAGAGCGAGGGAGAGAGGGCGAGAGGCUUUGUUACAAAGAAACUCAAAGCUACGGUGAACACUAAAAUAAGGGUAUUUGGGGAAUAUAAAUAUUCUUGGUGAGUUGGUAUGUUACUGGAAUCGGAUUUGGAAUGCUCACGUGACAUGCGAAUUUGGACGGCGAAUCAGAAAGCCUAAUUUGAUUGGGCCGCGUGGAGAGAAUGAGUUCGGGUUGUGUUUUCUGGUGGCGCCUGCGUCUUUUGCUAUUGGUCUGUCAUUAAGAUAUCUUUACGGGUUGAUGAGAUUUCGUUUGCCGGCCCAAUCGCAGCUGUACGACAGUUGAACCUCAAACAGCUGCUUGGUCCUGGGCCUUGCUUGGUAUGCACUUACUCAUAAUGUUGUACUUGUCCUCACGUAUUUUUUUAAUUUUUAUUUAUUUAUUUAUUACUUAUUUUUAAAAUGUUUAUUUAUUUAUUUAUUUGUUAAAGAUGAUACAUUCUGCUAAGAAAAAUUUAAUGUAAACAAAAUCCAAUCUAUCGUAGUGGGAAGAGUUAAUCGGAUAAAUGUAAGGAUGGAUUCUUUCUUUAAGAAUGUGGGAUGUUAUUUGUUUGCCCCGUGAGUAAAAACAUCUUCUUUUAUUUGUGUGUUAUAAUAAAAUUUAAAGAACACUUUUAAAAAUUUUAAAAAUUAUUUAUAAUAUUAAAAAAAUGUAUUUUUUUAGGGAUACUGUAGACCCCCUAGAGGUGACAAGUUUUUGCAUUUUGGCUAUUAUUAUUUUAUUCAUCUUGUCGACCCGAGGAUGAGCUGUAUGGAGGGCGGCGAGACAAGACUGGAAAGGAGGACUGAUGUGGGUGGCCUAGGGCAGAGAAAAUGAGAGGCUGCCACGAGAAAAGGAAGAAAAAACAGAGUAAGCUGGGGGGAUUUUCGGAGGAGAGUUUUUUUUGGAGAGAAAAGGAGAGGAAGGAUUUUUUAGGGGACGGAACCAGGGAGAGCUAUCGAAGGGGCUUUUCUUCAGGCGGGUUCCAGAGGAGAUGGACAGGAGAGAAGCGAGCAGGAGGGAUUUUUGAUCAGAGGAGAGAGCUUGCUGGCGGCGAGACCACUUCGACUCCGUUGGGGGAAUCUCUCAGGUUUGACUUUCCGGCACUUAGGUUCUCCAUUUUUACAGUCACACCAUGCCUCUUAUUGAUCUAUGGUUUUUAUUUUUAUUUUUGCUGUUGGUAUGUGGAUGCUUGUUUUGGCCAUCAAAGGUCCCGUUUGUUUGAUUUUUGCUUCACUUGCAUGAGUUACAUAAGGGAUACGCUGCUGUUCAUGUGUUAAAUCCACUCGAAAUUUCCUCCUAGCUCUCAAAUCUUUUCGAUCUUCAUGCAUCCUCUUCUACCACCGUCCUAGUUGUUAUUGUCUUGGAGAAGAUUAUCGUCACCCUUAGAUCUCUCUCCAAACCUCCCUCACCCCCUUCCACGACCCCGGCAUCCUCCACUCUGUCGGCCAGCAUUCCGAGGGUCACCUCCGGCGCGCCCAGGAGGCGGCGACUGCUGCUGCUGCAUGCCGCCAUAGCUGCCCUCCAGUUCGUCGUCGGAUUCAAGCGUCAUUCGGAUGGCGGCAAUUGAGGUGCUGAAACUCCAGCCGGUGCCGGUGAUAUUGGAGGUGCGGAGAUGGAACCUGAGAAGCCCAUGGUUUCUCUUGGAGACCUUUGGGCGGAGAAGUCGUGGGUGGCAGCGCCUGCAUGGGAGAUGCCCGCAAUGGCUAAUGGGCUUGAGGGCUUAGGUGAUUUUGCUGUUGGUUUUGAGCUUGUGAUGAAGCCCAGGCCCAAGCGAAAAGAUAAAAAAAAAUAAUGAAGAAGAGAAGGCCUCACUGAGUUAUUCACCCAUUUUAAAAUUGGCCCAUUUGCUUGCAUCUACUUUAUAUGAAUCACUUUCUUUAAAGCACUAAUUUCUUAAUAAAUUUUCUAACUUCCAAUUCCCCAGCCCAAUUUAUAAAAUUUUAACCUUCAAAUAAUACUUCAAAAUUCCUACAUUUAAAAUUCAAUUCCAAUUUCCGAAAAUUCUCAUACUCACUUUAAUUUAUUUAAUCACUAAUACUUUAUUCAUUUAUUUUAAAACUCCAUUCUUAAUCUAUUUAUUUAAAAUUUCUGUUUGCCGAAUUAAAUUCCGAAAAUUCCCAUUCUCACUUUAAUUUAUUUAAUCACUAAUACUUUAUUCAUUUAUUUUUAAAACUCCAUUCUUAAUCUAUUCUUUAAAAUUUCCAUUUACCGAAUUAAAUUCCGAAAAUUCCUAUACUCACUUCAAUUUAUUUAAUCACUAAUACUUUAUUCAUUUAUUUUAAAACUCCAUUCUUAAUCUAUUUAUUUAAAAUUUCUGUUUGCCGAAUUAAAUUCCGAAAAUUCCCAUUCUCACUUUAAUUUAUUUAAUCACUAAUAUUUUAUUCAUUUAUUUUUAAAACUCCAUUCUUAAUCUAUUCUUUAAAAUUUCCAUUUACCGAAUUAAAUUCUGAAAAUUCCUAUACUCACUUCAAUUUAUUUAAUCACUAAUACUUUAUUCAUUUAUUUUAAAACUCCAUUCUUAAUCUAUUCUUUAAAAUUUCCGUUUACCGAAUUAAAUUUCUAUUUUUGAAAAUUCCAAUAUUCACAUUAAUCUAUUUAAUUAUUAUUGUUUUAUUUAUUGAUUCUAAAAUUCUAUUCUAAACAAUUCAUUUAAAACUUUCGAUCUCCGAAUUAAAUUUCUAUUUCUGAAAAUUUCAAUAUUCAUAUUAAUUUAUUUAAUUAUUAUUAUUUUAUUUAUUUAUUCUAAGAUUUCAUUUUAAAUCAUUCAUUAAAAUUUCCAACUUCCGAUUUUAAUAAUUCCAAAAACUCCAAUAUUCACAUUAAUCUAUUUAAUUAUUAUUAUUUUAUUUAUUUAUUCUAAAAUUCUAUUUUAAACAAUUCAUUUAAAACUUUCGAUCUCUAAAUUAAAUUUCUAUUUCUGAAAAUUUCACUAUUCACAUUAAUUUAUUUAAUUAUUAUUAUGUUAUUUAUUUAUUCUAAAAUUCAAUUUUAAACAAUUCAUUAAAAUUUCCGACUUUCGAUUUUAAUUUCUAAUUCCAAAAACUCCAAUAUUCACAUUAAUCUAUUUAAUUAUUAUUAUUUUAUUUAUUUAUUCUAAAAUUUUAUUUUAAACAAUUCAUUUAAAACUUUCGACUUCCGAAUUAAAUUUCUAUUUCUGAAAAUUUCAAUAUUCACAUUAAUUCAUUUAAUUAUUAUUAUGUUAUUUAUUUAUUCUAAAGUUCCGUUUUAAACAACUCAUUGAAAUUUUCGACUUUUGAUUUAAUUUCUAAUUCCAAAAUUCCAAUACUCACAUUAAUCUAUUUAAUUAUUAUUAUUUUAGUUAUUUAUUUCGAAAUUCCAUUUUAAACAAUUCUUCAAAAUUCAAAAUUCGGAACUUAAUUUCCAAUUUCCAAAAUUCUAAUUUCUUUUAAAUUUAAUAUCUAAAAUUCCAAUUCUUAAAUUUAAUUCUCAAGACUCCAAUCUUCAAAUAAUUUUCGAGACUCCGAUUUCCAAAUAAAUAUCCAAAAUACUCCAAUAGUUUUAAUUCCAUUUCAGUUCUUAAAUAAUCUUCUGAUCUUCUUGAUUUUACAUAAGCAAUAAUGAAUUCUUCAUAAUUCUAAAACACGGAAUUUUUUAGACUAGUUCAUGAACAAUAAAUUGGGCAUAUGAUUGAUCCCUAUUGAUUGUCAACUGUUGUGCUUGAUAUAUUUUGCUCGAUCUUCAUUUUGCGCUCCGAUAUGCAUGAGCUAUAAUUCGUAUUCGUUAAUUGUGUACUAAUCCCGUUUCUUGAUAGCGCAUUGUGGCUUGUGGCUCAGGUACGCAUAGAUUUUCAUUUUGAUCAUUCUCUAUGCAUGUUGGAUUUUCAUAUGUGCAUGAUUUGACUUAGGCAUCCAUUGACUUUCUUAUUGAUUGCCACGUCGGUUUCAUUUUAUUAGUAGAGACCCGUCUUUAGGGACUUAGAGGGGUGCUACGGUUUUUACCGUACCUUCCUGAUAAGUAACCUGACCCCCGAACCCGAUCCGGUUUUUCACAGACCACAUUUUUCAAAGUAAGGAGUCACACUUAGGGUUUUUCUUUCUUAUUUUGUUUACCCUUUAAAAAUAAAACAAAAAUAAGUGGCGACUCCAAGUCAGUUUUUAAUUAAUAAAAGUCAUGUUUUUUAAAUUAAAAUCAAGCUCACCAUCGAGUGGGAAACACAUUGAGCCGAAAUGCGGGGUCCACAGAUACACUUGAUAAUUAAUUUUUUUUAAAUUUUUUAAAGAAUAUUUAAUUUUUUUUAAAAAUAAAUCAUACUUGAAAUAACCUAAUCUUUCUUUUGAGAUUAAAUGUGAAAAAUAUACCCAAAAUUAAUAACAUAAUAUAACCAGUUCAGAUUAUUAUGGAUUUUUUAAAUGAGAAAUUUUGAAUAAUGAUCACUUGAAACCGUUUCAAUCAGUUUUGUCGAUUUGAUUCGAUUAGUUUUAUUGGUUCAAUCCUCAAUGCAAUCAAUUCGAACUGAUUUCAUUCUAUCAGUUUUAUUAAUUGAUGUUUGUUUUCUUUUUCCUGCACACAUCAAAUUUAUUCAUGAAAAUAUUGAGAUAUAUGACCAUAAAAAUUAAAAUUUUAUCUUAAAAUAAUUGGAGAUAAAAAUUAAAAUUAUUUAUAUUAUGAGAAGGUAUCUUAAAAUAAUUUAGAAAGUAAGAUGCUAAAAUAUUGAAGUGCGGUAGAUGAUAUUGGUGGAAGUACCUACUUCAACUUCAAUGGCUGAAGAAUCUUUCAGUUCCAAUUGAUGAGUGAUGAUUCCAAAGUCUAUAAUUUCUGAUAACGCCAACAGAAUUAACAUUAAAUUUCCUUUACACGCAUUACUGUUACAGGAUUGAACAUCGCUCAAUUUUCCGAUCCUCAAUCCACAUUUACAACGACGGAAAACAACUCCUAAUUUUCAACCACACGCUACGAUCUCCGGCAUUGCCACAGUCGGAUGCACCGCGCACUUCCCCUGCGGCGGUAACGCCGGCAAUCUCGCCGAAAAACUCUUCAUCAUUUGAGCCUCGUCAUUCUCUCCAUCGUCGAAAUUUAGAGCGUAGCUCAACGGAUCGUAACUGAAAUUCACCGAGUUCCGGUGCCUUUUCCGCAUACGAGCCAUCAGGUUCCGGCACUUCUCCUUAAUCACCGGUAACUCACGCGCCGUCGAUCUCAGCCACGCGGACGACCGUCCUACCAACCGCCGCUUCGAUAACGAUCCGGCUAAUUCCAGCCCCCGGAAACAGCAACAAAGACACAUGGAAAACUUAAUCCUAUGAUUCGGCGAUUGCGCCGGAGUAUCACCAUAAGACUCCAUAUUGAAAAGAGUGAGAGAAAAAGAGUGUUUGAGUAGUGAGAAAAAAGUGGAUAUGAUUGAUGAGACAAUGAAGUGGAGUUGUUUUGGAUAUAUAUUUAUAGGUUGAUGGAAAAGAGCAGAAAGCAAGGGGAACAUAAUGGAUAAGGACGAGAGCGUAAGAUGAUGCGGCUCCCCUUGCUGGAAAAGCCCAAAUAAACCGCGGGAUGAUGGCAUGCGGCUCCCCUUGCUGGAAAAGGCCAGAUAAACCGCGGGCCGGGCGCGUUGUGGUUUUUUCUGAUUCCGCGUUCGCGGGAUUUUAUUCCAAUUAUUAAAGAACUCCUAUCACAUUUUAUUCACUUUAUUUUCGGGUUUUAUUAAUUAUGGAUUUCUAAUUUAUUUCUAUUACUCGCUCAAAAUUUUGACAAACACAUAGCCAAGACAUGAGAAUUAAUUAUAUGACAAAUGGAAAAAAGGCAUGUGACAUUAAUGAUUUCAAAUUAAAUAAUGUCAUAUGCCAUUAAUAUGAAACUUGACCAUAUCAAAAUUUUAAUUAGGAAGUUCAGAGUGGGUUUAAUAAAUUUUUAAUAUAAAUAAAAUAUUACUUUUUAUAAAAAGAAAUUAUAAAUAUUUUAUAAAAAAAAAUUAUUUUAAAAUUAAAUUUAUUUUUAAUAAAAUUUAAAAUUCUUAAAAUUUUAAAAAAUAAAAUUAAAUGAGAUAGGAUGAGUAUAAGAAUUUUGUUUCACACACAAUUUGGGUCUCAAGUUUUUGCAUAUGUGUGGCACCUAGACACACUCUAGGCUAGCCUUUCUCCAAGCCACAAGAUGUGUUGUAUUUUAUUGAUCACCAACAAAAUACAAAAGAAUACAAAAGGUUAUUUGGCAAGGACUCUCACAAUAAGCAUCAAGUAGUUCACUUGUUUUUUUGAAGGCAGUUGUACCAAGUGAACUAGUGUUUGAGUCCUAGUCUGACCCAAACUCAAACUCAACGGAUUCCACAUUGAGUAGGACUUCGAGUCUUACUCUAUCCCAACUUCUCGUGCCACAAGUCUCUAUCUCCUUGUGCAUGAAGACUUAGUUUCCCAUCCUGAUUGGGAGUCUUUGUGUGUCAAAGUUCUUCUCCUCCUCAGUUCCCUAGUUUGACUAAGAGUCUCAUGCGAUAAGAGUCUUACUUAUGCAAUGCAUUAGCACACUACACCUUGCUUAGGCUCAUAUUGAUGCUAAGACAUAUCUUACAUGACUCGUGUGUUGCUGUUUUCAUGCAUGUUGGGCUCACACAUCAACUCUAUUCAAAGAUCCUCAUGACAUUUUCAAAUCUUAUGAUAAAUUCUAAAGGAUUGGGAAGUUGACAAAGAAACACAUGAUGCUACUUAACCCUACAUUGGUAGUUAAAUUGUUUGAUGUAUGGAGAAUUGAUUUCAUUGGAUCAAUUUCAUCAUCUUUUAGAUAUUCUUAUAUUUUGGUACGAGUGUGCUAUGUGUCAAAAUAGUUGGAAGCAAUAAAUUAUAAGCAUAAUGAUCACAAGGUGGUGGUAAAUUUUUUCAAGAAGAAUAUAUUUACAAGGUUUAGAGUGCCAAAAGUUAUUAUUAUGGAGUGAUGGAGGUAGUCACUUUUGCAACUAGUCAUUCAACAACCUUCUUGCUAAAUAUGGAGUGAAGUACAAAGUAACCACAUGUUAUCAUCCAUAGACAAACGAGCAAGUGGAGCUCGCGAACCAUGAAAUCAAGAGCAUCCUGAUAAAAGUAGUGAAUGCAAUCACAAGGAUUAGGUUAUGAGACUUUGGGUUUAUCGAACUACCUUUAAGACAAUUCUUUGGAUGUCACCAUAUAGGCUAGUUUUUGGUAAAACAUGUCAUUUACCUAUUGAAUUGGAAUAUAAAGCAUGGUGGACUAUCAAGAAAUUGAAUUUUAACGUUCAAAAAGCAGGAUUGAGGACAUUUCUAAACUUGAACAAGAUAGAAGAAUUAAGAAAUGAAGCUUACAUGAAUUCAAAAUUUUCUAAAGGACAAACUCAAAAGACAACAUAAUCAAAUUGUCCUUAGAAAGCAGCUUCAAGAAGGACAAAAAGUGCUCCUAUAUGAUUCCAAACUACAUAUAUUUCCAAAAAAGCUCAAAUCUCAAUGAAAUGACCUAUAUUUGGUUCAUAAGGUGCUUUCAAAUGGGGUUAUUAAAAUUUGUCAAUCCAAAAAGUGGAAUUGCCUUUAAGAUCAAUGAACAUCAACUCAAGGAGGAACUUUUCCUCCUUGAUCCUUCCAUGACUUAGUAUAAUUUUUUUAGAGGGGUUAGUCAUUUUAAAAUGACUAAUUAUCCCAAUUCUUCUAUUUUUUUUUUCAAUUUCUUUACACUUCAUUCCAUUUGUUUCAAUUUUUCUUUCUUUUUCUAAGCGCAUAUAUCUUUUUUUUUUUGGUGAUCUUGUAACACUCCAUAAAUCAAAGGAAGAAGGAAUUUCCAAGGGUCUAAAAGCUCGAAAGAUGACAAUUUGGAGAGGACCUAGUGCAAUAAGAGUACCCUUUGAAGAUUUCACAUGACUAUGCAAAAUCACCAAUUCUACGUGAAGUUAAAUGAAUUUUUUUAAAGCUUUGAAUGCCAAAAUCUCAUACCUUUGGUAUGUUUUGCAGGCCCAUACGAAAUUAGAAGAUGCUAUGUGAAAACAAAGUUUUAGAGAUAUAUUUGAAAGUGAAAAUAUUCAUCUCUCAAGUCUACUUUGCAUCCUUAUGUGAAAUUGAUAAAAGUUAUGCAAAAUUGAUAAAAAUUGUGCAAAAAUUGAAUAUUCAAGUCCUCUUGGAAAAACAAAAUAUGAUGGCUCAGAUUUGUUUUGCAUGGCCAUGCGAAAAGAUGAAAUACUAAAGCAAAGUGUCAUGCAUUUGUGAGUUCAUGGAAAUUCGACAACCUCAUUAUGCAUGUAGUAAUCAGCAUGCCAUGAACAAUGGAACUAUUCUCAAGAGGUGGAGUUUGUCAUUUAGUGCCAUAUAAAAUUCAAGGAAAUAUGGUAGUGCUUAUAUUAAAAUCAACAACCUUGUGAAAGAUUGAAAAAUUCAGCAACUAUAUGAGUUCGGUUUUCAUAUUUUUAAGUAGCAAAUUUUGCCAUUUUGUGACCCAUAUAUUGCAGUCACACAUGAAGAUAUGUUCAGAGGUGCAAAUGGCUUGUAUGAAGAAUAAUUCUCAUGCAUUUCAAUGGCUUUUUCAAAGGCUUUUCAAUGUAGACUGCUACAUGUAUUCACUCAGGUUGUGCGAUAUCCUCAAUGGCACCACUUUUGUUGCAAUUAGUAGCUUAAUGUGAAACUUCCACAAGGUUUCCUAAGUCUUUUUCAAAGAUUAAAAAUUGAAAGUAUGAAUUUUUUUUUUCCUGAAAAUAACUCUUCAAUAUACUUUUGAGGAGGUUUGGUCAAAUUUUUUCCCUAAAUGCAAUAUUUGAAAAUUAGGCUAUUAUGGCUAAUUGUUGAAAUUUCUUUGGAAUGUUUUAUUGAUUUAGCUCAAUGGAGUAAUUAAUUCGGUGUUAUUCACUUGGUUAUUUGGUUUAUCAUAUAUUGGAAAUUCAAUUGAAGAUGUGAUAUGCUAAUUCGUUUUGUAAAUCGAAUACUAUUUUAAGUAAUUUUUGAAUAUGAUAGAGCUAGAUUUUUACUUAAUUUCUAAAUGACAUUUAUUUUAAUCUUUUCUAGAAAUAUUCAAAUAUAAAUGAUCAUUUGUUCAUUUAGAAAAUUUCCACCAAUUAUGCUUAUCCAUUUGUUUUAAUUUAUAUUGUCUAAAUUUCAUUUCAAUUUGCUACAGAUGAUAGUAAAAAAAAAAAAAGAAAAAAAAAUACUAUUGAAGAAUAGAAUAAAGAAUAGGUUGUAUACGAUGAAAAAAUUGAGAUUUCAAUGCCUACAGUAACUCCUAUUAAUACAAUGGUUGCCAUUUGAGAAUCUCACUCAAAUUAGCUAAGACCAAAGCCACCAAAAGACAUAUUGUUGCACAAGCUUCAAUUUUAGAAAAAGGAAAAAGGACAUUGGGGCAACCAUAUAAAAUUCCAAUGAAAAGAAAGAACAAAGGAAAAAAGAAAAAUAAGAAAUAUGUUUGGCAUAACUCGGAAUAGAAUUUUGAAAAAAAAAAAAAGACUCAACAAGCGCGUAGAUAUCAAAAUAUAGCUCCUCAUGAAAUGGUCUAGUAAAGCAAUCAUAUGGUUUAAAUGGCUACCCUAAUGUCAUUUUUUCCUUUUUCUAUAACUGAAACUUAAUGCAAUAGUAUAUCUUUUGGUGGUCUUGGUCUUAGCUAAUUUGGGCAGAGAUUUGCAAAUGACAAAUGUUGUAGUAAUAAGAGCUACUAUAAGCAUUGUAGUCUCAAUUUCCUCAUCAUGUCUAACCAACUCUCUAUUUUGUUCUUUAGAACUCUUUCAUUUUCUUACUACCAUUUGUAGCAAAAUAAAAUGAAAUUUAAAUUAUAUAAAUUGGAACAAAUGGACAAGUAUAAAUGGUAGAAAUUUCUUAAAUGGACAGAUGACAAUUUAUUUUAGAAUAUUUCCAAAAAAAUUAAAAUAAAUUCCAUUUAGAAAUUAAGUACAAAUCCAGCUCUAUUAGAUUUCAAAAUUACUCAAAAAUGGUCUUCAGUUUGCAAAAAGAAUUAGCAUAUCACAUCUUCAAUUGAAUUUCCAAAAUAUGAUAAACCAAAUAAUCAAGUGAAUAAUACCGUAUCAAUUAUUUCAUUAAGCUAAAUCAACAAAACAUUUUAAAGAAAAUUUAACAAUUUUCCAAAAUAGCCUAAUUUUUAGAUAGUGCAUUCAAGGAAGAAAUUACACCAAACCUCUUCAAAAGUGCAACAAGAGUAAUUUCAAAAUAAAAAUAAAAAUUCAUACCUUCAAUUUUUGAACUUCGAAAAAGACAUAGGAAACCUUGUGCAAUGAAAUGGCGAGUGGAAGAAUUUGUACCAAAGUUUUGUUGUCUAGGGCAAAUAGAAACUCUAAAUAAAUUAGCUGUAAAUGUUUCCUAUCCAUUUUUGAACACUUUUGCAAUAGUUAAGGUAACUUCAAACCCGAUUUUAGAUCUCCAAUAGCAAGGUUCCUUAAAUUAUGAGGUUAAAUUGCAUGUUGCUCCUGGCUUGCAUAAGCUUAAACCACUUGUAGUGAAAAUAAAAAAUGUUUGUUAAGUUAAAAAUCAUAAGGACUUUUUAGGGACAAAAAAAAAAAAAUGCUUACAAAACUAAAAGUGGAAAAAAAAAACCCUAGUAUUGGCAAAAGUUAGAGUGAAAUAAAUAAAUAAAUUAUGAACAACAUAACAACUCGAUCCCUUCAUCGGUGUGUAAGUACAUUGGGGUUCAUUCCAAGUUUACUCGUAGCCAAAAAAAGGUAUGUAUUAGAAAGAAUGCUUUAAAGAAUUAAAUGAAAUUGGAAUAAUAAACAUGACAAUGCAUUAUUGCGGCAAAAUGUCCAACUAAGUAAAUCAAAACAAUUUUAGAGUUAACUUAUUCUUUAUCUAUAUUUUAUUUACUUUAUAAUACUAUCAAAAUUUUAAAAUUGAAGGUAGUAAAUGUUUUUUUUUUAGUACCUUAGUAUUUUUUAACAAUUUUUAAAAGUUCUUUUUAAGAGUUUUUAUAUUGUAUACUUUUGCUUUUUUUUUUAAAAAAAUGGAAAGACCGAUGUAUCAAAUUAACACUCGAGUGUGUUUGAUAAAAUAUAAUAUUUAUUACUUAAUGAUUUAAAUUGAAUUUUAAGAUAAAUUAUUAUCAAGUUGUUGAAUUAAAAUUUACUUAUUGAUUUAUAUUUUUUAAAUAUUAAAGAUAUUUAGUAAAAUUAAUUUAAAAUUGAUUCUAAAUCACCAAAUCACCAAAUUAACGUAUUCACCCUUGUUAAUUUUAACUAAAAUUUAUCUUCAUUGAUUUUAACUAAUAUUUAUUUUCAAUGGUUUUAAAUAAUAAAUUUAUUUAUUAAAAAAAUUUAAUUAUUUAUUUGAAUGUGAAAUAUUAUUUUUAAAUUUAAAUUAUUAUUUUUAAAUAUAUUUAAUUAAUUCAAUGAUUUAAAUUAAAUUAUUAAAUUGAUUUUUCAAAUACUAAAAAUAAAACAAAGCAAAGAAAAAGCGGUCAAUUUAAAUAUAAUUUUCCCAAUAUUACUAUGCAGAAAUUAAAUGCCACUUAAAAUUAAAACGACGCCUUCCAGAGGGUACUAGCCGCUGAAACACUCCCCCACUUUACAGACAUCUCUGGAAACCUCGAAACCGUUCCCUUGGAGAGAAAUUGUUCGGCUUCCGAGAAAAAGAAAAACAGACUAAAAGAAAAUCCCUACAAAAACCUCUGUUCACCUCAUAUCUUCGAUCAAUCCUUCAUCCUUUCCCUUUCUAUGGUUAGAAAUAUAUAGUCUUCUCUCUUUACCCAUUGGUUGGCGAGAAAAUGGAAGAAAAGAGAUUUGGAUUUUCAAUUCUGUUGUUUUUGUGUUGGUUUUUUGUUUUCAAAUGAAUAGAAACUCUCAGUUCAACUGAGAAGUUGAGUGGAAGCUUUUUGAUUUUGUUUUUGCUUUUGGUUCUCAAAUAAUGCAGAAGUGGAGGUCCAAAAUUUUUGUUUAUUUUCUUUUUAUACGCUUUAUCGAAAACCAAACGGACCGUUGCUUGCUCCCUCGGUAUUGAUUUUCUAUAUUCGAUUACAGGAACAAUCUCCUUCUCUGGAAGAUUGCUUGAAGCUCUUGAAAGGCGAAAGGGAUGAACAACGACUCGCAGGCCUGCUUCUUGUCACUAAAUUUUGCAAGGGCGACGACAAUGCUGCCCUUCGUAGGGUUUACAAUGCGGUCGGAAUUGGGUUUCUCGAUCGCCUGUUAAGGACCGGUAAAUCUCUUCAUCCGUUGUUUGGUACAUGAGAAAAUGCCAGGAAAAGAUAUUGACCUUUUGAUUGUGGUUUUAGUUUCUUGGCUUCAAUUGGUAAUCCGUUAAUGGUUCAUUUGGUUCCUAAGAAAACGUAGGGUAAGCAGAGGAUUUAAAGUAUUGAUUUUUUUUUCCUAAAUGGAUAAUUCAGUUUUAGCUCCUAAAGAAGUUCUUUUGUGUUACCCUCUUCUUUAACAACUGUUAAGUACAUAAGAUUCAUCCUUUUUCUGAUUAAAUUCUUCCAAGUGCUAGAAUGGAAGAAAGGAAGUGAUCCCAAUUCCUUUCAGUUGGCUAAAUUCCUUUUUCAUGAAGGAUUUGGUUGCAAACAAAGUGUUAAUGCUCCAUUUUCCUUUUGAGUGACUAGACUAAGAGCAAUGCUGAGAGAUUGAAAAUUCUAAAAAUUUCAGUCUGUAUUGUUCGGGACAGUGAAAGCAAAAUAUCCAACUUUUUAUUUUAUUUUAUUUUGAUAAAUAUCAACACUUAGCUGGGCCUUAAACUAUUGGUUUAGGUGCUGAAUUUUCAGUCUUUUAGGAAAGCUAAACAACAUAAAACACUAAGCUUAGUUUGACUACUGCAGAAAUGUUGGAAAAGAAAAAGGAAUUAAAUUUGAAUCCUUAGGUUUUUCAUUCUGUAGGACUGAGAAAACAAAAACCUCCACUCAUCCGAGUCUAAUAAAGCUACCUUCCAUAAUUUGCAGUUGAGUUUUUGUCAAACCCAUGAAAAUGUAAGAUUCAAGGUUUUAUUUAUUUUCUUUUCCUCUAUUUUCUUGAAAUCAAACAGAAGAGUAAAUUUUCUUUAAAAAAAUUUAAUUUGUUUUGCCAAGGCUGAUGUUGUGGAUUUUUUAAGGGAUGGGGAAAGGAACUAUUAGUAGCAGUGGAGGUGACAACAGAGAUGCAUAUUUGCAACUAUCAGUUACUGUUCUUGCUGCAUUCUGUCGUGUUCCGGAGAUUGCUUCAUCUGAAGAUAUGGUCUUAAAGAUUCCUUUGAUAUUGGAAAUUUUGUCCAAGCAGUAAGGUUCUCAUCCUCAACUUAUUUUUCUCUGCAGUUGAUGAAUUCUGAUUAUUUUGAAUAGUUCUUAUUUUUACAGCAUAACUUUGAUGUUUCUCUUUUUGUUUUUUAUUUUUAAUAUGUUCCCAACCAGUUCCAAAUUAUUGGUGCACUUAUUGUUUUGAAGAGGUAGAGAGGAAUACAUCUUGCAUGGGAGCUGAAUGAAAACCAAAAAAUAAAAUGUUGGAUUAUAAUGAGUCUUUUUAAUGUAAGGUGGAAAUAUCAAACCAAAAAAUUGGGAAACUAAGGUGUUAUGGUAGUUUUUUUUCUCCUUUCUUGGUGUUAUUGGGUGCUUCCUUCUUUGGUUAGGCAGACUCCCUUAAGUUGUAUGGAUCCUUUGUGGGAAGAAAACACAAGAAUUACUUGCCUCUAUAGUUCUUUUGCCCAAAAAGAGUCAGUCAAAGAAGAUUUCGGAUUUUAGACCUAUUAGCCUGAUCACUUGCCUCUAUAAGGUAAUAGCAAAAGUCUUGUCAGGACGAUUAAGAGGAGUUCUACACGAGACUAUCCACUCUACUCAAGGUGCUUUUGUUCAAGGGAGACAAAUUUUGGAUGCAGUUCUUAUAGCCAAUGAGAUAGUGGACGAGAAAAGGCGAUCAAGGGAGGAAGGAGUUGUAUUCAAAAUUAACUUUGAAAAGGCUUAUGACCAUGUGAAAUGGGAUUUUGUGGAUCAUGUGUUGGAGAAGAAGGGGUUUAGUUCUAAAUGGAGGAGUUGGAUGAGAGGUUGUCUGUCCUUGGUCUCUUAUGCUAUUCUAGUGAAUGGUAAUGCUAAAGGAUGGGUCAAGGCAUCUAGAGGUUUAAGGCAAGGUGACCCUUUAUCCCUUUUCCUGUUCACUAUUGUUGUAGAUGUGUUGAGUAGAAUGUUGUUGAAAGCUAAGGAAAGAAGUGUGCUGGAGGGUUUCAGGGUAGGUAGAAAUAGAGUUAGGGUGACCCAUCUGCAAUUCGCAGAUGAUACCAUAUUCUUUGCUUACUCUUGCGUGGAAGAACUGCUAACUCUCAAGAGUUUAUUGUUAGUGUUUGGACAAAUUUCUGGGCUUAAGGUCAAUCUUGACAAGAGUAAUCUUUUUGGAAUCAACCUUGAUCAGAAUCAUCUCUCUAGGUUAGCCUUGUUGCUUGAAUGCAAGGCUUCUGAUUGGCCUAUACUAUACCUGGGUCUUCCUUUGGGAGGGAAUUCAACUGCUUGUGGAUUCUGGGACCCAGUGAUUGAGAGAAUCUCUAGGAGAUUAGACGGGUGGCAAAAGACUUACUUUUCUUUUGGUGGUAGGAUAACUCUUAACCACUCAUGCCUUUCCCACAUUCCCAACUACUUUCUUUCUCUGUUUAAGAUUCCCACUUCAGUGGCUGCAAAAAUCGAGAGAUUGCAAAGGAAUUUUCUUUGGUUAGGGGUUGGAGAAGGUAAAAGAGAUUAUCUAGUUAGUUGGGAUGCGGUGUGUAAGCCGAGGGUAAAAGGGGGUUUAGGGUUUGGGAAGAUUCCUUUAAGGAAUCAUGCUCUUUUAAGGAAAUGGUUGUGGAGGUUUCCUAGGGAGAGCACAACUCUGUGGCAUCAGGUCAUUCAAAGCAUUUAUGGGACACACUCAAAUGGUUGGGAUGCUAACACUUUAGUCAGAUGGUCACAUCGUUGUCCUUGGAAGGCUAUUGCACAAGUCUUUCAGAAUUUUUCCAAGUAUACUCGGUUGGUAGUAGGGGAUGGGGAAAGAAUUCGUUUUUGGGAAGAUUUGUAGUGGGGGGAUCAGAUUUUCAAAGUCCAAUAUCCAAGGCUAUUUAGAGUAGUCACGGAUAAAAAUAUUCCUAUAUCUUCAAUUCUCGGUUCUGAUCGCCCUUUUGCAUGGAACUUUAAUUUCCGUCGUAAUCUUUCCGAUUCUGAGAUAGAAGAUCUAGAACGUCUCAUGCGAUCUUUUGAUUGUAUGCAUAUAUCCACUUUGGCUUCAGAUGCGAGAUCAUGAUCCUUAUCUUCUUCAAGAUUGUUCACAGUCAAAUCUUUCUUUAUAGCCUUGUCACAAAUGCCCGGAUUAUCUCCACUUUUCCCUACUAAGUUUGUAUGGAAUUCUCAAGUCCCUUUCAAAGUUAAGACCUUUGUCUGGCUUGUGGCACACAAGAAGGUAAAUACUAAUGACUUGCUACAAUUGAGGAGACCCCACAAAGCUCUUAGUCCUGACAUUUGUAAGUUGUGCAUGAAGCAAGGAGAAUCAAUAGAUCAUCUCUUCCUUCAUUGUUCUGUGUCAUUGGGGUUGUGGCACAAAUUAUUUCAACUAGCCAAGAUGGAUUGGGUUCCUCUGAGAAGCAUUUCAGACAUGAUGUCCAUCAACUAUAAAGGUUUUGGCAAUUCCAAGAGAGGGGUGGUUUUGUGGCAGAAUGCGUGCAUAGCUUUAACUUGGGUUGUGUGGCGGGAAAGAAAUGCCAUGAUAUUUGAGGACAAAGCUAGGAAUUCAGAGAACCUUUGGGAUUCAAUUCAUUUCCUUGCUUCUCUUUGGACUUUUUGUUCCACGGUUUUUAAGGGCAUUCCCCUUAUCGUGUUACAACUAGAUUGGCUAGCAGUAUGUAGUUCCAACAGGAUGGUCUAGUCAAGGGAGAUUGUUCGUAGUUUCUUAGUGUAGUGCCUUGUUAUCUUUUUGUGUCGUUUAGUUUCAUCUCUGGUGGGAGGAUUACUCAUCCUUCUAUUGUACUUUUUUUCUAUUAAUAUAUACAUGUGUUGUUUCCUAUCAAAAAGAAAACGCAAGAAUUAAAGUGUUGCCCCUUUAUGUAUUUUUGAACAAUUUGGAAGGAAAAGAAUCAAAGAGCAUUUGAAAACGAGAAGUAGCUAGUUCACUUGUUAGCUUCUUCUUUAGAAGCUUGUUGUCAUGGAUUAGGAUGUAUAUAGCAGAAGUAUCAAUGCCUUUAAUCAAUUUUGUGGAUGGGAUGGGAUCUAGAUGAGGGAGGGAACGAGUUUUUUUUGUGUUUUCCUUCCUUCAAGCUAUGCCUUUUGUUAUCCUUUGUAUACGACUGUAUAGUUCUUUAUAUUUUAUGUAUGUUCUCUUUCUAAAAAAUUUUUUUUGGAGCUUAACUAACCAAACCACACUUUUCAACUCAAUUGAUGUCUCAAAUCUUGGGAUCAAUCAUGCAAUAACCUUUCAUCUUAGUUUCUCUUUGUUAUUCAAGUCUCUUGCCCAAAACAAGUAAUCAACUCAUCUUAUUGUCCUAAAAAUGGUAAUGACUCAUUUCUUAAUUCUUCAAUCAAUGUUAAAAAUCCAUAUUAAACAUUCAUCCUAAUAUAACCUCAUUGUUUCCAUCUUUGGUGUUCUCAUAAAUCCCCUUGACCUUGACUAUGUCUUGCAACACUCAACUGUUGUUUUUCUUUUUCUUUUUUUACUUAAUGGCCUUAAAGGCAUAGAUUUAUGGCUAAGGCCUUCCAAAAGUUACUCUAGGGAUUUAAAACUUGAUAUCAAAAGCUCUAAAAUAUGGGAAUGAGUUUUGUUCAAACAUUAUAUACGUUGUAGACCAAAAUCCUAACUUCUUAAGCUUUUUAGGAAAAGUGGUUAUUCAACAUGAUAUCACAGUUUGGUUAACUGGAGAUCUAAGGUUUAAGUACUUCCUCGUCCAUUUAUUUGUUUAAUUAUUUGUGAUUACAAGUCCUUCCCUCGUCUCUUGUACUUUGGUGUGUUGCUUCUUUAGCACUUGCUUUUAGAAUCUUAUUUUUUGUAUCACAAAUUAUAAUGUCUCUCAUGUGUGGUGUAUGGGGUCACACGUGAGAGGGGUGUUAGAGCAUGAUAUAUAUUAGGGGUUCUAAUCUUAAUAGCUUAAGCUUUUAUAAAAAUUAGUAGUUCAACAAGUUUAGGAGUCGAAAAUUGUAGAAAGUGUGGUUAUAGGGUCACACAUAAGAGGUGUGUACAUUGUGAGCCCAAAUCCUAACAAUUCAAGUUUUUAAGAAAGAUGGUAGUUCAACAAGUUUAAGAAAUCGAAAAUCAAUAACAACUGCUUUGGUCUAUGCCCCCACGUACAGGUAUAAGGCUGCACAUAGUGGGGUAUUAGGGCAUGAUAUAGAUUGUGAGCCUGAAUUGUAACAGCUUAAGCUUUUAGGAAAUUGGUGGGUUAACAAGUUUAGGAAUUGAAAAUUGUAGAAAGAAUGGUUACCUUAUGAUUUAUAUAACAACCAAAACAAAUAGUACGAAGUCCUCUUAAGACUCUUGAUCAGCCAUCCUGUAAUUGCAUUCUCUUUUUUGCUCUGCUUCAUUUUCUUUGAGUUUGAAGGAAUAGAAGGGUUUCAUAUGAGCAAAACAUGGAGACAAAAUGCGUAAUGGGUAUUUUGGUUGAUGCUUUUCUCAUUGCUUGUUGCCUAAUGAAUUGUAACCAUCCACAGUUUUGAAUAACCAGGCCUUAAAACUCUAUUUUAUUUCCUGAUCUCCUAUUAUUUUUACUUUUAACAAGAACAUUUGGUUGUUCUUGCUUUGUCCAUAAUCUUCAUCCACAUCAAGACAAAUCUUCUCCCCAUUCCAUUAAAUGCAUUUUUCUUGGAUAUUCUCAAAUACCAAAAGGUUACAAAUGUAUUGAUCCUACUAAUGAGAAGUACUUUGUGUGUUGACCCUAUUACCUAGAAGUCCUUUGUGAGUGCUGAUGUUACUUUCUUUGAAAGCUCUCCUUGUUUUUCGACCAUUAUCUCCUAACUGAACCUUUACCAAUGACCUCUGAUGUUAUUAUUACCUUUACCAUGACCUGAAAACAGGGUUGAUGUUUUCUUCGCACUGCUAGAACAAGAAUGAAAAGAAGACAUUAAUACACUGUGAAUGGGAGUACACAUUGCUGAGCAUAUUGUUCUUUGCCUCACCAUAAUAUAAAGGCCAUAAAGGAAUUUGGCCACUUGAAUAUCAUUAGAGAGUGACUGAUAGAUGUUUAACUCCUUCCACAUCCCUUUGAAGGAACUGUAACCAUUUUGAUUGAUAGCAAAGAUGUUUUUAUACAAUUGAUAAGUUCUAGAAAUAUUUUUUUUCUUGUGCAAAUAGCAUUAAGAUCUCCUUUGCACUAUCUAAAAACAAAACAUUAGAAUCUGUUCCAUUCCCUUCCAUAACCAUGUCAUAAUUGUGCAGCCAUUUUGUUGCCACUCUUCAAAUCCUUUUAACUCUUCUAGAUGCGGAGAUGCUCUAGUUUUCCUUUUGCUAGCACACAACAAAUAAUUAGGGCCAUUCAACUUGACAGACAUGAUUUGGAUCCCCUUGUUGUCACUUGUCUUACUUCACUAAUUGUAGACAUAGUAGUAAAGGAAACAGAUUUGAAACACACCGUUUUCACUUUUUCUUUUGCAAAAAACAAUCCUUGAGCAAUGUUCUAACAAUCUUAUCACAUGUUCUUAGACAUUAUUGAGGCAGCCACAAAGACUGAAGCAGCCACAGCAAGGGGAUUGAUCACUAGAGCAGUCCCUAAUACUUAUUAACAGCCAAUGAGGAUAGGUUUUUAAGUGUAGUAGCAGCUAGGGUUAGGGUUUGUGAUUUGUAGAGGUGCAACUGCAGUUUAUGACAAAAAGCAGCUAAUUUUUGAACCUGCUGUCAUGCCAUGUUGAAAAGGAGAGAAAAAAACUGAAGAGGAGAAAAAAAAAGAAAGGAUGAGAGUAAACAAAUAUGAGCCUACAGCCUAUUGCUAGAUGCUUCUCUCUUGCAUAUUAACAAAAUACAAUGUAAAUUAUAAAAUUACCCCUCUAAUUAACGGAAGACAUAAAUAUAAUACUUUAACACCAAAACGUAAACACAUCCAGUUACUGUUCCAUGUGCUAGUUCCUGUGGGGAGACCACUUCUUGUUUAGGAAAACCAUAGGAUGGUUGUCUACAAUCAAAUAGGUGGGCUAGGGUUUUAAUCUACAGGGUUUUAGGAGAGGAAUAAGGAAUAAAAAUUAUGGCAAUGGGGAUAAAAUAUAGGAAAAGAAGAGAUAAAGAAGGAAGAUAUGAAACCUUAGAGUCUCACUAAGGCCUUGUAGGAAUGUCGUGCAGAAGAAAAGUAAUGGAGUCUUACCAUUGAAAAUUGCAAUGUUUGCACAAAAAAAAAAACUUAGGAUUAUUGAUCAUCAAUCCUUAAUCUUCUUUGAUAUCAAUUAAUCUUAUUUAUAAGCUUUAAAAACCCUAAAAUAGAAUAAAGCUAUGAAAAGGUAAAUUUAACCUAUGUAGUAACUUAUUAAGACUACUAUUCUUUUCAUAAAACUAUUUCAAAAAAUUAAAAUAAAUCAUUUUUUUUUUUAAAUUAGAAACUUACUUUAUAGAAACUUCUUGUAAUAAAGUUUCUAAUAAUUUUUUUUUUGUAAAUAGAAACUUUAGAAUCAAUAAAUUAUUUUAGAAAAUAGAUGGUUUGAAACUUCGUUUAAGAAGAAUUUUGAAACGUCUGAAAUUGUAGUACUUUAAUUUUUUUUUCCUUUCAUUCCUUUUCUUGAAUACACUUGGAGGGACUCAUCCCCAUCACUUGUGUUGAUUCUCUUAUGAGUUUCUUUUUUUAAUUGUAAUUUUUUUAAAUUUGGAAAAACUAUAGUCUGUUGCAUGAUCAGUUCUUUUCCAAAAAAAUUAUUUGACCUUGAUUUUAGUCUAUAAAUGGGAAUAAGAGUAAUUUCUCAUUUCUAUAGAAAAAUUAGUGUUUGCUAUAGAAUGAGUAGUUAUCACUACCUACUUCUAGUUGGUGGAUUUGACAAUUUGUUUUGGAAGGAUGCCUUAUUAAUAAUUUAGAAGUGCCAAAACGUGGCCUAACUUAUCAAAGCAAGACCUUCAUUUUUCAAGGUUGCUUGAGUGUAUAUAUGGACUUUUAUGUGAGGUAUUUUUUGAUAUCUUUUAUAUGAUAUAUAGUAUCGACUAAAAUGGAUAUGGAUCCUUAGAGAGAGAAGCCAUGAAGGUAGAAUCCGUUUGCUUUUGUUUACACAGUUGGAAUUAUGUUAUUGGUUUAUUUAAAUGGUACAUUACAUGGAAAAAAAUUAAAACCAACUAAAGGCUCACUAAAUAAGACCAACUCUAUUGCAAUAAUGAUGUGCGUGGAUUAAUAGGUCUUUUGCUUGCCUUUUAUAGAAGGUUUUGUUUAGUUUUCUAGUCAUGUUCUGUUCCAAUGAAGAUAUUCCUGCUCCCAAGUUUGUAAAGUCCAUUAUGUACUAAUUGAUCAAUGAUAAUCUUAAAACACGCUUUUUCUCUUUUAAUAUUACUUUUUAUUUUUCAUUUUUCAUUUUUUGAUAAGUAAAAGCAUGUUCUUGCUUUAGGCUAUUUGAUUGGGAUGUCAGUCCUGUUUCUUGUUGCUAUAGAUACACGGUUGAUGGUUUAUGUGCAAACAUUCUGUGUUCAGGUUAUUUGAAGUGUGAAAAGAAAGCCUGUCAUCUCGUAUGCUCCUUGACUUCCCCUGAUUAAUUUUGUUUGAACGCAGAUCAGGCUCACAUGUUGUUGAAGAGUGCUACGAAUUUUUAUUUCUUGUGUCUACUUCUUGUGAAGAUGGAGUCUCAGCAUUGUACAAAUCUGGAGGCUUAAGGGUGCUAGCUUCCCAAAUGUCUACUUUGGCAGAUGGUAUUUAAAAUUAAUUUUAAUUGAACUAUGACAACACUUAAACAGAUUAUGUUAAUAAUCCACAGGUGCAUUUAAUUAUCAGCUGUUGCUAGUAUUCAUUGUGAUUGCAUCCCUGAGCCUUGUUAGCUUCAUGUCUUUCUGGUGAAGAGUCCAUGUAAUAUGAUAUUUAUCAUCAUUGACAAGUAACUUGUUUGUAAAAAAAUUUCACAAAUGGAGGGAGGAAGAAGCUGGUUCAGUGUUGAUUCAAAACCCUUCCAGAUUUCAAUAGAGAAGGUCAAAGGUAGGUGGUUGGAAAGGUGUCAGAAGGGGGUUGAGGGUUUUCAUCUUGGACCAGGUUUGGCAAGAAAGGCCUUUGCCCUUUGGUUGGAAGGGGCAGAGUCAUGCUAUCAUGAUAAUGACAGAAAAUCUUACAGAAAAGUUUGGAUAGAGGGAGGGAGGGAUUACAAGCUGGAGAUGCGUAGCAAUAGAGUAGGAAGGUUCCUAUUGUGCUUUGUUUUUUCCAUGGAAGAGAAGAGGUUCACUUUGGUUUUUCUAUAAGGUAGGGGAUUUCCAAGGGGCUGAGGGUUCUGGACAAAAAGUUGUGGAGCUUAGGGGUAGCUUCUCUUCAGAGGAUUGAGCAAGUAGCUCAAGUGGCUAGUUUCCAGUUGCAGAAGAAUGGGGAGGGAGCCCCUAACAAAGCAGUUUCUUAUGCAGAGAUGGUAAGCAGUGACUGGUGAGGUGGUUGAAGUAGUGUAGAUUCAAACGGGAAUGGAGAAAUCAACAAAAAUAUGGAAUGCCUACUGUACUGCCUCAUGGGUAGAUGGGUUGGACUUUUAGAUAAGAUCCAGAACAUGUUUUUGCUGAAAACAUGAACAAUGUUUAAUUGGCACUUGAAGGAUAAUCUCCAUUUGGCUUUAAUGGAUGGAUCCCUCAUUCUGUUUUGAGUUCAAGAAGGUCUUUGAUGCUGAAAGGGUGUUGCAGUUGGGUAUGGGAAACUUCAGGGAGAAGCAUCUAGAGAUGGGUUCAAGAAGCUGGUUGUUUUAGGAAUGACGUCUGUGCCCAAGAAGGUUAAGGAAUGAGGUCCCUAGUUGUUGCUAAAGGCUCUUAGGUAGCAGAGAUGUGGGAGCAGGUUGAGGAAGGGGGCCAGUGGAAUCCCUCCUUUUAUGGAUAGUUCCAUGUUUAGGAAUUGGAAGGAGUAGAAGCAUUUUGUCAAAGACUACACUCUAGUUGAAUUAGAAUGGAGGAAGAGGAUAGAUUAGGUUGGAAGGAAAUCAAGAGUGGCAUGUUCACUAUCAAAUCUUUCUAUACUUCCUUCUCCCAGGGAAGAAGUGAGUCUUUCCUAACAAACUUAGUUUGAAACUCAUGGGUGCCAAUGAAGGUGGGUUUCUUAGCUUUGGAAGUUGUUUGCAGAAGGAUUUAACACUUGAUUAGCUUAAAAGGUGGAAAUGGAAUAUAACAAAUAGAUGUUACAUGUGUUAAUGGGAAGAAGAGUUGGCUGAGCAUAUGUUCCUUUACUAUUCCAAAGCGAGAAUCCCUGGAAACUGGUGUUUUUUUUUGUAUGGAGUGGCUUGGAUGAUGCACUCUUUUGUAAGAGAAACCAUUCUGAUUGACGUGACUCUUUUGUGGGGAAGAAGCAAAAGAAAGCUUGGGGGACCGCUCCUUUGUACCUGUUUCAGACGUUAUGGAAUGAAAUAAAUAGGAGAGAGCAUUCGAAGAUGAAAUAUAGUUAGAUGAAGCAAUCAAAUCUACCUUUCUGUGCAAUUUUUGGAUUGGGUUAAAGUGUACAUAGAUGAUUGUUUUAUGAUCAUGAUAGACUUUGUAGAUUGGUUGAGUUCUAUGUAAGGUGAGGUAGGUGGUUUUUUGUUUUCUUUUCCCCUCUUUGCUUGUCUGUUACUGCUAUUUGUAUAUAUCGUGUGUACUUCGGUGUGCCCUAUUUCAAGCACUUUUAAUAUAAUAUCUCGUUUUGCCUAUCAAAAAUGUUUUUCUGGUGCAAUCUGAAUAAGUUGGGUGACCAUGGGGUUGUGGGAACUUUUUUUCCUUUUCUUUUAAUUGGUAAAUAAUAGGAUAUGAUUAAAGUGUGCCUAGCAAAAAAGGGGGGGUGCAAUCCAAGUACAUUGGAUGCACAGAAGGAGCACCAGGUUUUCCUCCUAACCUCCUCAUGAGCCCUCAAUAAGAUAAAAAAAGAAAGAUUAGUAAUCCUUUAUGGACCCUAGACCACUCAAAGAUUGUCGGCUGAUGUGUUCAUUGUGAUUAGAACCUUCUAUAGUUUGUUUGCUACCUUUUGGAACAAAAGAUACAUAGAUUCAUGGGACCAUGGACCUUGUAACUUAGUUCUGAUUUGCAUAAAAGUUAUGUGAUGCAAUUUUUCUGCAGGUUCACACUCACAGGCACUGGCUAUGAAACUUGUGCAGUUGAUGCUUAGUACAGUGUCCCUGGACAUCAUUAAUAAUGAAUAUUCAUCAGAACUGUCAAUGAUGGUGAGCCUAAAUUUAUUUAGCUGUGUACUUUUUUUUUCCUUUUUUUUGAUAUAUUUAUUUAGCUGUGUACUUUAUCCUUCACCAUCAUUUAGUUUGUUAUUAUGUGAAGAAUUUCUGAACUCCUUUAUUGAUUCUAUUCGGUACACACCAUACACAUAUAUAUACACAAAUGACUGAAUAAGAAAAAAUCAAUCUAGCUUAAUUCUCUCCUAAAAUUAGGAAACUGAAUCAUAAGGAAAUAUCCUAAAUGAUCUCUCCUUUUUUAUUCCUAAAAUACUUUCCUAAAUUAAAAUCCUAACUUUGGCAUUAUUUCAACACUCCCCCUCAAGCUGGAGAAUAUAUAUCAUAUAAUCCCAGCUUGCAAGUUAAGUCUUCAAAGUUAGGCCUAGGUAAAGCUUUGGUGAGGAUGUCUGCGGUUUGGUGCUUGGUAGGAACAUAGUUCAAUUUAACCGUCUCACUAGUCACCUUCUCUGUGAUGAAGUGUCUGUCAAUCUCAACAUGCUUGGUCCUGUCAUGAUGCACGGGGUUCUUUGCUAUGCUUAUAGCUGCCUGAUUAUCACACAUCAUCAGAAUUGGAGAUGAACUCGUUUGUCCCAGUUCACUAAGAACCCUUUUUAUCCAAAUCCCUUCACAGAUUCCCUGUGCAAGAGCUCUGUACUCAGCUUCUGCACUACUUCUGGCUACAACUGAUUGCUUCUUACUCCUCCAGGUAACAAGAUUUCCCCAGACAAAAGAACAAUAUCCAGAAGUGGACCGCCUGUCAAUGAUGUUUCCUGCCCAAUCCGCAUCUGAGUAUACUUCAGUGUCACGGUUCUCUGUCUUUCUGAAGAAUAGACCUUUCCCUGGUGUCAUUUUUAAAUAUCUAAGAAUCCUGUAGACUGCUUCCAUGUGUUCCUCAGUGGGGCUGUGCAUGAAUUGACUUACAACACUCACUGCAAAGCCAAUAUCUGGCCGAGUAUGUGAGAGAUAAAUCAAGCGCCCGACAAGCCGCUGAUAUCUCCCCCUGUCUACCGGUGUACUUUCUUUCUCGAUACCAAGUUUCUUCUGACUAUCCAUAGGAGUAUCAAUUGGUUUGCAUCCAAGCAUACCGGUCUCCUUAAGAAGAUCGAGUAUGUAUUUUCUUUGAGAGACUACAAUUCCCUUCCUUGAUCUAGCCACUUCCAUACCAAGGAAAUAUUUCAAAUUUCCAAGGUCUUUAACUUCAAACUCUUCUGACAAAUACUUCUUCAAAUUCUGUAAUUCCUCCAUAUCAUUCCCAGAUAGAAUAAUAUCAUCGACAUAGACUAUCAAUAUAGCCAUUUUCCCGGCAUGAGACUUCUUGACAAAUAGAGUAUGAUCAGCCUGACCUUGUUUGUAGCCCAGCUUCAGGACUUCUUUUGUGAAUCUAUCAAACCAGGCUCGGGGAGAUUGUUUAAGGCCGUACAAGGAUUUUUGGAGUUUGCAAACCUGAUUCUUUGCCAUACUUUCUUCGAAACCAGGUGGUAUUUCCAUGUAGACUUCCUCUUCUAGGUCACCAUUUAGAAACACAUUUUUUAUGUCCGGUUGUUGCAAGCACCAAUCUUGAUUGACAGCCAAUGAGAGAAGAAUCCUGAUAGUGUUCAGUUUUGCAACAGGAGCAAAAGUCUCCUGAUAGUCUAUCCCAUAGGAUUGUGUAAACCCUCUAGCUACCAAACGAGCCUUGAAUCUCUCGACUGAUCCAUCUGCUUUGUAUUUUAUGGUGAAAAUCCACUUGCACCCCACAGGCCUCUUCCCAACCGGCAAAUCUGUGAUAGUCCACGUCCCAUUCUUCUCAAGUGCAUCAAUCUCAUCUUGUACUGCCUUCUUCCAUUCUGAAAUUUUUAAUGCCUCUUGUAUUGUGUUGGGAACCUGAGUAUCAUCAAGAGAAGUAGCAAAUGCUCUGUAAGAUGGUGAUAGCCCUUCAUACGUAACAUAAUUCCCAAUUGGAUGAUCUGUACAUCUCCUAACACCCUUCCUCAAUGCAAUCGGCAGNNNNNNNNNNNNNNNNNNNNNNNNNNNNNNNNNNNNNNNNNNNNNNNNNNNNNNNNNNNNNNNNNNNNNNNNNNNNNNNNNNNNNNNNNNNNNNNNNNNNGGUUUCCAAUCAGCCGGUUUACCAUGAAGCUUCCAGCAAGCCUCCUUAUAAUGGCCUGGUUUCUUACAAUAAUCACACCAAGGCCUAUCUCGUUUCUGACGGUCUCCACCACUACUAUUAAAUGAUCGAGCAGCAAGGGCAGAGCCAUCCAAUGUUGGGGCAGGUUGCUCUUUGGAUCCCAUCAUCACUUUCUUUCUACUUUCUUCACGCCUAACCUCUGAAAAAGCCUCCCUGAGACUUGGAAGGGGUUUAAUGCCCAUGAUUCGGCCUCUAACAUCAUCCAAUUCCCUGUUUAGUCCUAGGAAGAACUUGAACAGUCUCUUUUGUUCCACAAUUUGCCUGUAUGUUGCUGCAUCAUCCGAACAUUUCCAUGAGUGAGUCUCAAAUAAGUCAAGUUGCUGCCAAUACCUUGUGAGUGUGUUGUAAUACUGAGUAACUGACCGCUCUCCUUGGCGGAAGUCAUGUAGGGCUGAUUCAACCUGAAAAAGUUUUGAAGUAUUUUCAGAACUUGAGUAAGUUUCUUUGGCUGCAUCCCAUAUGUCCUUUGCAGUCCCAAACAGCAAGAAAUUUUCUCCUAUGUCAUUGUUCAUGGAAUUGAUAAGCCAUGACAUGAUCAUGCUGUUUUCAAUCUUCCACUUCCUGAAACCCGGUUCUGUAGUUUCUGGCAUGGCUGCUUCUCCAGUGAGGUACUCAUCCUUUCCUUUACCGCAAAUGAACAGCAACACAGAUUGUGACCACUGUAAAUAGUUAUGGCCAUUAAAUUUGUGUCCUGUGAUGAGAAUAGGAGAGGAAUCAUUGCCACCAAGGUUUGGAAUUUCAGAUCUGCCCCCUGAUUUUGGUGACGUGACGCUGGAUACUUGUGAUGAUGCCAUUCCGUAUUUUGUCAUGGACCGGAAAGGUAGAAGACCACUUCCCAAGGCACGUGCAGGGAUUGGAGUUGAGAAAAAAUAGCUGGAGGACGCCGGAAAAACUGAUCGAAGGGCCCACGGAAGCAAAAGAACCCCAAAAGAGGCACGUGCAGGGCUCGGAUGGCAAAAACAGGUAAGAAGGGUGGCUGGUCGGCGUCAGACGAGCUUGGAGGAGGAAGCGCG